UACAGAGGAUGCAAGCGUUAUCCGGAAUGAUUGGGCGUAAAGCGUCUGUAGGUGGCUUUUUAAGUCCGCCGUCAAAUCCCAGGGCUCAACUCUGGACAGGCGGUGGAAACUACCAAGCUGGAGUACGGUAGGGGCAGAGGGAAUUUCCGGUGGAGCGGUGAAAUGCGUAGAGAUGCGGAGGAACACCGGUGGCGAAGGCGGCAUCCUGGACCGGUAUUGACGCUGAGGAGCGAAAGCCAGGGGAGCAAACGGG
rnacentral:rRNA from 1 species